AGGAAUGUAUAGCAAUAGCUACUUGCAUCAUUGUAAAGAUGAUGCAAGAUCGACUAUGUCGAAUAAAAUUCUAGGUAGAAUUAUGAUAAUGACAUUGUCUGCCUAUGUGUCUUGACCAAAUUACGUGCCAGCAGUCGCGGUAAUACGUAGAAGACUAGUGUUAUUCAUGUUUAAUCGGUUUAAAGGGUACCUAGACGGUAAAUCAAGCUUUCAAAAAAAAAAAGAAUUAAAGGACUAAUUUACUAGAGUUACUUAUGAGGGGGUUUUAAAGUACUGCUGGUGUAGAGAUGAAAUUCUGUCAUACCUUUUUUCAAAAGAAAAAUCAUGGCACAGGUAUAGGCGAAGGCAUCCCCUUAUGUGAUAACUGACGUUGAAGGACGAAGGCUUUGUAUAGCGAACAGGAUUAGAUACCCCAGUAGUCGAAGCAGAAAAUGAUGAAUGUCAUAGAUUAGAUAUAUAAGUUUAUUCUAUAAAUGAAAGUGUAAGCAUUCCACCUCAUGAGUAAUUUGGCAACAUUGGAACUGAAAUCAUUAGACCGUUUCUGAAACCAG
rnacentral:rRNA from 1 species